rnacentral:rRNA from 1 species
GAUGAACGCUAGCUACAGGCUUAACACAUGCAAGUCGAGGGACCGGCGCACGGGUGAGUAACACGUAUCCAACCUGCCCUUUACUCGGGGAUAGCCUUUCGCAAGAACGAUUAAUACCCGAUAUAAAGGAUGGGGAUGCGUUCCAUUCGGUUGUGGGUGAGGUAACGGCCCGCCACACCUUCGAUGGCUAGGGGUUCUGAGAUGAAGGUCCCCGACAUUGGAACGGGGACACGUUCCAAACUCCGACGGGAGGAGGCAGUGAGGAAUAGUGGUCAAGGGGCGUUAGCCUGAACCAGCCAAGUAGCGUGAAGGAUGAAGGCUUAUGGGUCGUAAACUUCUUUUAUAUAAGAAUAUGUAUUAUAUGAAUAAGGAUCGGCUAACUCCGUGCCAGCCGCCGCGGUAAUUC